GUUGAUCCUGCGGGAGAUUGCUGCUAUCUGAGUUCGAUUAAGCCAUGCAAGUCUAUCUAGCAAUAGAGGCAGAAUGCUCAGUAACACGUCAAUAAUCUGCCCUUAGGUCAGGCAUAACCUUGGGAAACUGAGGCUAACACCUGAUAGGAAAAUUCUACUGGAAAGUGUUUUUUCCAAAAAGCAAUGCCUAAGGAUGAGUUGGCGGCUGAUUAGGCUGUUGGUGAGGUAAAGGCUCACCAAACCUAAGAUCAGUAAGGGCCAUGAAAGUGGUAGCCCUGAGAAGGACACUGAGAUACUGGUCCUAGCCCCACGGGGUGCAGCAGGCGCGGAACCUUUACAAUGCACGAAAGUGUGAUAGGGGGACUCAGAGUGCUAAUACUUAGUAUUAGCUUUUGCCAAGAGUAAAUAUCUUGGAGAAUAAGUGGUGGGUAAGACUGGUGCCAGCCGGCGGUAACACCAGCGCCACGAGUGGGAAUCACGAUUAUUUGGCCUAAAGCGUCCGUAGCCGGACUAGCAAAUCUUUUGUGAAAUCGUUGUGCUCAACAUAACGGCGUGCAAGAGAGACUACUAGUCUUGGAAUUGGGAGGAGUCGGAGGUAUUCUGUGGGGAGCGGUAAAAUGCUAUAAUCCUCGGAGGACCAUCUGUGGCGAAGGCGUCCGACUAGAACAAAUUCGACGGUGAGGGACGAAAGCUAGGGGAGCAAACCGGAUUAGAUACCCGAGUAGUCCUAGCUGUAAACUCUGCGAGCUAGGCGUUGCAAAUUCCUCGAGAAUUUGCAGUAUCGUAGUGAAGAUGUUAAGCUCGCCGCCUGGGGAGUACGGUCGCAAGACUGAAACUUAAAGGAAUUGGCGGGGGAGCACUACAAGGGGUGCGGCGUGCGGUUUAAUCUAAUUCCACACAGAGAAUCUCACCAGAAGCGACGGCAGAAUGAAAGUCAGAUAGAAGGUCUUACUUAGCAAGCCGAGAGGUGGUGCGUGGCCGCCGUCAGCUCGUGUCGUAAGAUGUCCAUUUAAGUAUGGUAACGAGCGAGACCUGUAUCUAUAAUUGCUAACAACUUCUUUAGAAGGAUUGAGCACAUUAUGGGGACUGCCCUGGAAACAGGGAGGAAGGUGCAGGCAACGGUAGGUCUGUAUGCCCCGAAUCUUCUGGGCGACACGCGCGCAACAAUGGUGUGGACAAUGGGAUACAACUCCGAAAGGAGAAGUUAAACCUCGAAACCAUAUCUAAGUUCAGAUUGAGGAUUGUAACUCAUCCUCAUGACGAUGGAAUCCCUAGUAAUCAGAGUUCAACAGACUCUGGUGAAUAUGUCCCUGCUCCUUGCACACACCGCCCGUCAAUCCAACCGAGCAGGGCUUGAGUGAGACUUAGUUUUUUUGAUUGAGCCGAACUUAAGCUCAGUGAGGUGGGAUAAGUCGUCACAAGGUA
rnacentral:rRNA from 1 species